rnacentral:rRNA from 1 species
CAAAGAGGGGGACCUUAGGGCCUCUUGCCAUCGGAUGUGCCCAGAUGGGAUUAGCUAGCAGGUGGGGUAACGGCUCACCUAGGCGACGAUCCCUAGCUGGUCUGAGAGGGUGACCAGCCACACUGGAACUGAGACACGGUCCAGACUCCUACGGGAGGCAGCAGUGGGGAAUAUUGCACAAUGGGCGCAAGCCUGAUGCAGCCAUGCCGCGUGUAUGAAGAAGGCCUUCGGGUUGUAAAGUACUUUCAGCGGGGAGGAAGGGAGUAAAGUUAAUACCUUUGCUCAUUGACGUUACCCGCAGAAGAAGCACCGGCUAACUCCGUGCCAGCAGCCGCGGUAAUACGGAGGGUGCAAGCGUUAAUCGGAAUUACUGGGCGUAAAGCGCACGCAGGCGGUUUGUUAAGUCAGAUGUGAAAUCCCCGGGCUCAACCUGGGAACUGCAUCUGAUACUGGCAAGCUUGAGUCUCGUAGAGGGGGGUAGAAUUCCAGGUGUAGCGGUGAAAUGCGUAGAGAUCUGGAGGAAUACCGGUGGCGAAGGCGGCCCCCUGGACGAAGACUGACGCUCAGGUGCGAAAGCGUAGGGAGCAAACAGGAUUAGAUACCCUGGUAGUCCACGCCGUAAACGAUGUCGACUUGGAGGUUGUGCCCUUGAGGCGUGG